CUCUCUUCUUUCUCUCUCCAUACGAGGAUGACACCGAUGAGAGUUGUGGGGAUGGCGGCGGUUGAGCGGUUCAGGCACGGAGACAGGAGGCGCAAGAGGACGGGGAUGGACCAGAUUGGGCGGCUUGGGGUCGGAUCCCGCCGGCGGUGGAGGGCUCGCGGCGACCUUGGAGGCCGGGCAUUGAAGAACUCGGGGCGGCAGUGGUGCUCGGCCAUGGAGGGCUCUCUGUGAUGAUGUUGGCCCUAGGUUAACCAAGCCAGCCUUCUGGCUGGAGCAACUAUGUGCAAGCAUCGUGCAGGCAUCAUGUCAGGCAAGGAAUCAAGCCAAGGUCUGCGGAUACGACUUGACGUGCGACAGGGCGGAGCACCUAUGCUGGAACAUACGGGAUUGCAGCUGCACGCUGGAGGAAGGGGGCAUAAGAUGCGAUGCGCUUACGGGCCAUGAUCAGGUGCGGAGAUGCCAAAGUAGAGGUUCUGGGUGGAUGGACUUCGAUAUUCGGGUGAUCUUCUCCGGCUUUUCUUUGAGAAUAUUGAGAUGGCACCAUUGCGUGAUAUCUGCUGCAGAAGAGUACGUAUUUCGUCCAUGAUUGUUGCUAUGAUUGAUGUCGUACUACUCGAGAAACAUGGCAACAACAGCCAUGAUCCAUCUCUGCCGAUGUGGUUGACAGUUUGACACUCACAACAUGGUACUCCCUCCUUCUAGAUGUACAGAUUUAUCUCCCUAGCUGUGUAUGGAUGAAAUUGGGGGUCACAUAUUCGAUGCAUGUUAUGUAUCUCUGUACCCAUGGUAGGUACUGCGAUUACACUAACAAUGUGCAUCAGAUCUUUCUCUUUCUUAGUUUGUUUGCAUGAUAAUGCUUGACUGCUUUUGACAGCCGAUGGAUAUGCAGUAAGCUACAGAGACACUCCAUGCAGGUAUUAAGCAUCAUUGGAGGUCAAUAGCCUAAUGUAUUAAUCAGCGCACAUAGAGACAUGGCAAUGUGUUGGAUACAACCUCUAAUCACCUUCAUACUCAAGGUGGAUACAACCUCUAAUCACCUUCAUACUGAAGGUACGUACAACUAGCUUCUGCAAUUAGUUGACCCUGUUUAGUUUUCUCCUUCCCUAGAACAUGACUAUCAUAUUUUACUAAAAAUGAGUUCUUAUUAGAACACAACAUAUAAUAAUGAGAUGUGGUAUUUUUCAAGAAAAUCUCAUAUGACUGUAGUAUUUUUCAUGUGAGACUAAGGGACAAGGAAGCUGCAGUUCGUUUUUCCAGUACAAAUGUCAGGCAGAUGUUUGUUCAAACGAUAUGUGAGAAUGGGCUUCUUUUCUCAUUCCUUGAUUGGUAUUUGGACCUCCUAGAGUAAUUACAUGAGUUAUGAAAAAAUUGACUGUAUGUUGCUCCUUUUGGACUGUUCUAACCUGAUGUUCACAUUCAUAUAUAGCCUAGUUUUGGGAGUAUUAAAAUAAGUUGAAUUAGUAUCCCCAGGAAAGCCGUGAACAGAUAUGCUGACCACUUAUAUUUGUCUAAAAUUGAGGUCAUUUUCAUCUAAUAAAAUUCUUCCAUGUAUACCCUCAUAGAUUAUUUCCGAGGCAGCAACAAGAAACAAUAUGGGCCUACUGAAUACUUGCCGGCCUGAGAAGUUGCACAGGUACGUAGCCGAUUGAAAGCUGCUGGCCAAUGCUUUAGCCAGCAACACACACAUGUACGCAACCAGCUAUCCAAGAAGGCAGGUGGACUGAUUCCGGCUGGCUGCAAACAAGCAGGCAAACCGCAGGCACACAACGUAGAUCAAAAUCUUGCUGAAACACAUGCACGCCGCACGCACGCGACGCCUGUCAUUGGCCUGAGUAUUUAUUAUUACUUCGAUCUGAGUUUUACAAGGGGAGUGGGAUUACAUGGGUAUAUAUAACAGCGAGGGAUGCAAUGACAUCAUGCCGAUUUUAAGAUUAUCUAACAAUUCAAACAUUAUUCAUAAAUAUCUUUGAAAUCGUCACAUUGUUAUCAUUAUUAUUAGUGCAGGCUGGAUUGAUAGAUGGCAGGUAGUAUAGUCCAACUUUGGCUACAUAAGAACGAACCAAUUGGUGCAUCAUAUAUGCCAUGCGUUUGGGUGAUGACUGCUACAGACUCCCGAUGUUCUCUUUGAGUACUAACUACAUGUUUCCUGUUACUUUUUAAGGUUAGUUCCUUGAAUUUUCAGUGUUCAUUCUUCUGAAGACUAAUAUCUAAUUUUACAUGGCUAUCGUCUUAUUUUUAUUACUUCAUCAUUAACCUUAAAUACAAAUUUUAUGUGCCAAUUAAUUAAGUGAUGUAUAUUAGCCAGUUGAAAGCCUCUUUUUCCACCAACUACAUUUUCAGAAAACCAGACAAAACAUCACUACAUUUAGAACCCAUGUAUCAUGAAUUUCCCCAUUUGUUUUCUUUCUCGCCAUAGUUUACUUAUCAUUAAGAAAUAAUGCCAAUCAGUACCAACAUAAGAGUAGAUGUGUUGUGACAGGUGAUGAUCUAAGAGUAUUUUAUUAUUCCUCAUUCAGUGUGCACUUUUCCAAUUUCUAAUUUACUAUGUGUGUUCUGCAGUCUAAGAUGGAGGAUAUAUGGUCUUUGAUGUCAGCUUUACAAAACAUAUAUAUUCAUUGUUUAGACAACUUUUCGCAAGUUCGUUGCACAUUUCUAUCAAUAUGCUGUAUCAUUACAUCACUCACUAUCUUUUUUGAUGGGCCUUAAUGUGCUUGAUAUUCUAUAAAUUACUUUCGAGAUGUGCUAUAGCACAUAGCAAGUGGGUCGUUUUUACUUCCAGACAUUAAUCCACACCAAAAGAUUAGUCUAGCCUUUAGGAUUCUAAAUUUAAUGGUUAUGAUCUAUUAGAGCGCCGUUCUUUUAUUUGUAAAGCAAAUCACACAUGUCCAUGCAUACAUUAAAAGGAAUUAGACCUGCACGUAUCAAAUAGGCCCUGCAACCUCAAGCCUAUUCCUGGUUGAAAGAUCUAGAUGAUAUUCAACUAUAUUUUAAUUUUAUUUUGGAUAGUGUUUAAGAAACAAGGAUUACCGUCAGUGACCAAUUGACCAGCACAAUGUCAAUAAUAAGAAUUACGACAUAGUUUGCUUCGGAUACUUAGUUCUCAAUUUUCUUUAUGUCAACAUAUUGGUAGCUGAUGUGAUAAAAGGUGCCAGACAGGACAUUGGCGCAUCAAUCAUCGUUACAGCAGGUGUGCACAUCACAGCAGAGCUACAAGUUCAUUUUUCCAUGUUUAACAUAAAUCAGAUCUUCCCAGUGCAAGUACUGAGACAGGUUGUGCUGAGGUUUGCCCAUGUUGUCAACUGCAUGUUCUAGGAGAAUUUUUUUGUUGUACCUGAUACAGUACACUUCGAUGAUGAUAUCUUAGUCAACCUUUUGUUGCAGUUUUUAAUGAACAGAUAGUCUUUCAUGAAGGAUAUAUUACCUUUCAUCAAAAAAUGGAAUUCCAUUUAGACUGGAAAUAUUUAGUUUACAUGAUACAAAUCGAACCCUUAAGGUGAUCAGAUAUAUGUUUUAAGUUAUGGCCGUUUGCUCUCCAGUCACUGGUAUUCAGUUUUUUCAUCAAGUUUUGAUGAAACAGGGAGGAAACCCUGAACAAUAAUGGACUCACUAGCAUGUACAUGAUGUGUCUCUUUCUUAAACUGGACUGAAUGCUUCUUAUUAUAUUUUGUUCUGAGGAGUUGAUGGUCUGAUGUCGUAUAUGUUUAGUUGCUCUAUACUGUCAUAAUUCUAUGAUGCAAAGCAUUGUAUAUUUUUUUCAUCAAGUAACCCUUAUAGCAGCCUCUCCUCUAAUAUGCGUGUGUGUGUGUUGUUACCUCUUUUUUCCUGCAUUUUAAUUUCUACACCACAAUCAAAUGUGAAUAUGUACGUUUUGCCUAGCCAAUAAUUACUAAACUAAUCAUUUUUUAAUAUCCGCACAAUAUAUUUAUUAUGAAUAAUUUCUUUGAGAAAAUGCCAUUUGUUAACUCGCAAUAAUCAUUAACUUCACACAACAAAAUUAGAAUAUAUAAAACUCAGUCUGUAGAAGCUAUAGCUAUGUUUUACCUCGGAAGUAGUUGCCUGCUGGUGCACAUUUUUUAAUACCUACUUUAGAAUGUUAUUUAUCAAAUUUACAAAGCAUGGUUACGUGUACCUUUACUCCAAGGUCAUUGUUUCUCUUUUAUAAAACAAAAAUUACACGUAUUUGGGUGCAAUUUGAAGAGAAAUUUGUAAAGUGUGUGCAUAUAUAUCAUGACACUAGCAUCCAGUGCGAUGCAUUUGAUACUACUUCCACUUGAUCUCUUGGAUUAUUAGAGAAUUCAUUAAGUGACGACAGAUUAUUAGAGAAUUCAUUAAGUGACGGCUACUGGUGAAUUUAUGGACGAUAUUACACUAGAGGUGCAACAACGGAUAGGUCAAUUAAGAUCCGGAUAAAAACACACAGUCAUUGUGAUUGUGAUGUUCAGUGCAUACAAAUUUUUAGGAGUUUCACUAGGAUAAUAUAGAAUGCAGGAAGAAACUAUGUACUCCCUCUGUAUCACAACAUAAGAUGUUUUUUUCUAGAUUAGAUUAAAAGAACGACUUAUAUUUUGAUAAGGAGUACUUAAGAAGUUCACCCCCACUAUAUGAUUUAUCUCAACAUGCAAGCUGUCCACGUCACCAUAGUGCCACAUCACCCUUCAGUUUCCAAACAACACUCAAUUAAUCUUUUUUCUGUGACCAACCACUCUCGGUCUUUCACCUAGCGCGCUCUUCCACUCAGGAAGAAAAAUUCUCCCUGAAGCGAGCGGCCGCCGUUUCCUCUUCCAAUCACAAGCAGCCUGACCGAAGUCUAGACGCAUCAUAACUCACUUCCGUCGGCGUCUCAUCUUCAUCUCCUCCUUCCCCUAAAAAGGCGUUUUACCUCCUCUUUAUUUUUCCUUUCCCUUCAUCUCCCCCGUAUAGUUUUACUCACGCAAACGAAUCAUCUCUCUGUCUUAUUAUUGCAUCCAAUUCAAUAGCAGUAUAUAGCUAGCCAUCGGAUCAGAUAUUGCACAACUACCAGAUCGAAAAAAAUCCUCUCCUUCAGUAGCGGAUGGUGAUGUUGAACUGCUGAUGGUGCCACGCCACCACAGACCUGCACGCAUCUGCCGACCCGGGCUCCUAUGAUCACCGGUUAAACUGAGCCCCGUUGCCCAUCAAUAGAGUGUGUGGGUUCCGGUGGCCCGAGCCCGUGCCCAGUGCUAACCAUGAUCCACAUACGCCAUCGUCGGCGCCAUCCUCGAACAUCACCUGCAGGAAAGGAAGCCUCUUUUUAGCAGCUCCGCUCGGUCUCCAAGCACCUUCUCUCCGGCAGAAAGUCCAGCCAAUUUCUCUCACCUACAAACCUUUCUGAUUUGAAGAACAAUUGGGCGCCACAACCGUAGCACUGGAGCCGCUUCAGCGACGGCGAAAGCCGGCCCAAAGUCAACCGCAACACGAGCACCAUCGAUGAUCCUUAGCU